rnacentral:lncRNA from 1 species
UCGGGACGAACAGAUCUGGAAAAAACUCGAUUUCAUACCUUAAAUUGGUGAGAUAACUUCCUUAGCACACAUAAGGCUUCUCCAAGAACACAUAAUCUCAAACGAAAGCGACCCGCCUAGAAUCGUUAGCUUCUAUGACUCUAUGAACCAUAAAAAUGUAGAAUCAAAAUAUUGGGUUUAUUUUAGCUUAAUGUGGAGAGAAAGUGAGAGAGAUGUUGUGUUUUUUUUUUUUUUACAACAAAAGGCUAAGAAACUAGAAGGAUCCCUGAUCCGAGAGCCACCUCGGGGGAACAUAAUCAACAUAAACCAUAGCAGAUGGCGAAGUCCUAGCUCCUCGUGCCAGCCUGUCCGCCAGUGUAUUUUGCGCCCUUGGAAUAUGUUGGAUUGAAAAGUUGAGAAAGAAUUCCUUACAUCGCAGAAACUCCUCCAUAUGUAUAGUAAAUGCUGGCCAUUCUGUCGGUGUAGACACCAUCUUCACCAAUUGAGAGCAGUCAGUUGCAAACACCACCUCUGAUACCUGUAGAGUCUUCAUGCACUCCAUCGCCCAUAUCAAAGCUUCACAUUCAGCAUGUAAAGGUGAUAAACUUCUGCGAAUAGACAUAGCACCCAUCAUAGUAUCUGUGGAUCCAUUCUUCCUAUAGACCCAUCCUUGUCCCGUAUAAGGAUCAUCU